UAGAGUUUGAUCAUGGCUCAGAACGAACGCUGGCGGCAGGCCUAACACAUGCAAGUCGAACGGCACCUUCGGGUGUAGUGGCGGACGGGUGAGUAACACGUGGGAACGUACCUUUUGCUUCGGAAUAGCCUCGGGAAACUGGGAGUAAUACCGAAUGUGCCCUUCGGGGGAAAGAUUUAUCGGCAAAGGAUCGGCCCGCGUUGGAUUAGGUAGUUGGUGGGGUAAUGGCCUACCAAGCCGACGAUCCAUAGCUGGUUUGAGAGGAUGAUCAGCCACACUGGGACUGAGACACGGCCCAGACUCCUACGGGAGGCAGCAGUGGGGA
rnacentral:rRNA from 1 species